rnacentral:rRNA from 1 species
UACAGAGGGGGCGAGCGUUGUUCGGAAUUACUGGGCGUAAAGGGCGCGUAGGCGGCCUGCUAAGUCAUACGUGAAAUCCCUCGGCUCAACCGAGGAACUGCGUCUGAUACUGGUUGGCUUGAAUUCGGGAGAGGGAUGCGGAAUUCCAGGUGUAGCGGUGAAAUGCGUAGAUAUCUGGAGGAACACCGGUGGCGAAGGCGGCAUCCUGGACCGAGAUUGACGCUGAUGCGCGAAAAGCCAGGGGAGCAAACGGG